AGGAGUUUGAUCCUGGCUCAGAUUGAACGCUGGCGGCAUGCUUUACACAUGCAAGUCGAACGGCAGCACGGGGGCAACCCUGGUGGCGAGUGGCGAACGGGUGAGGAAUGCACCGGAACGUAUCUUCAAGUGGGGGAUAACGCAUCGAAAGGUGUGCUAAUACCGCAUAAUCUCUGAGGAGAAAAGCAGGGGAUCGCAAGACCUUGCGCUUUUGGAGCGGCCGAUGCCUGAUUAGCUUGUUGGUGAGGUAAAAGCUCACCAAGGCUCCGAUCAGUAGCUGGUCUGAGAGGACGACCAGCCACACUGGGACUGAGACACGGCCCAGACUCCUACGGGAGGCAGCAGUGGGGAAUUUUGGACAAUGGGGGCAACCCUGAUCCAGCCAUGCCGCGUGAGUGAAGAAGGCCUUCGGGUUGUAAAGCUCUUUCAGCCGGAACGAAACGGUCACGGUUAAUACCCGUGACUACUGACGGUACCGGAAGAAGAAGCACCGGCUAACUACGUGCCAGCAGCCGCGGUAAUACGUAGGGUGCGAGCGUUAAUCGGAAUUACUGGGCGUAAAGCGUGCGCAGGCGGUUUUGUAAGUCAGAUGUGAAAUCCCCGGGCUUAACCUGGGAACUGCGUUUGAAACUGCAAGGCUAGAGUGUGGCAGAGGGGGGUGGAAUUCCGCGUGUAGCAGUGAAAUGCGUAGAGAUGUGG
rnacentral:rRNA from 1 species